rnacentral:rRNA from 1 species
UACAGAGGGUGCGAGCGUUGUCCGGAAUCACUGGGCGUAAAGGGCGCGUAGGUGGCGCUGCAAGUCGGUGGUGAAAGCUCGUCGCUUAACGGCGAGUCGGCCAUCGAAACUGCAGGGCUCGAGCACUGUAGGGGCUAAUGGAAUUCCGGGUGUAGCGGUGGAAUGCGUAGAGAUCCGGAAGAACACCAGUGGCGAAGGCGGUUAGCUGGGGCAGUUGCUGACACUGAUGCGCGACAGCGUGGGGAGCAAAACGG